rnacentral:SRP_RNA from 1 species
GCCGGGCGUGGUGGCGCAUGCCUGUAAUCCCAGCUCUCGGGAGGCUGAGGCAGGAGGAUCGCUGUGAGCUCAAGACCAGCCUGGGCUACAUUGUGAGUCCAGGUUUCAGCUACAUAGUGAGACCCUGUCUUAA